rnacentral:lncRNA from 1 species
UCCAUGGCGGCGCGGACGGGCCUGGCCCCUAGCACUCCGGCGCCCGACUGGAUCCCUCCCGCACCGCGCAGCCCCUACGCGGAGCAGAUCUCGGGCGUCGACCACAGCACGGCGUCACCCCUCGUCGUCUUCCCCUCAUCGACGCCCCAAGCGGCGGUGCGGCAGCAAGCGACGACUCAUUGGCGCCCCCCUUUGGUCCGAUCUGUGUGGCCCCUUCCCGAAUCGAGUGUAAAGAGUCAAUUUUUGUGUUGAUGUUUAUGCGGAUGGUAUUGGAUUUCUUUGCCGGGAGGGAUUCAGGCACAGGUGCUGCUGGAUGUACUCUAUCCGUUGGGAUUCAAGCCGCUGUGU